CCUACGGGUGGCAGCAGUGAGGAAUAUUGGUCAAUGGGCGCGAGCCUGAACCAGCCAAGCAGCGUGAAGGAUGACUGCCCUACGGGUUGUAAACUUCUUUUAUAAAGGAAUAAAGUGAGGCUCGUGUGCCUUUUUGUAUGUACUUUAUGAAUAAGGAUCGGCUAACUCCGUGCCAGCAGCCGCGGUAAUACGGAGGAUCCGAGCGUUAUCCGGAUUUAUUGGGUUUAAAGGGAGCGUAGAUGGGUUGUUAAGUCAGUUGUGAAAGUUUGCGGCUUAACCGUAAAAUUGCAGUUGAUACUGGCAGCCUUGAGUGCAGUGGAGGUAGGCGGAAUGCGUGGUGUAGCGGUGAAAUGCGUAGAUAUCGCGAAGAACUCCGAUUGCGAAGGCAGCCUACUAAACUGGCACUGACGCUGAUGCUCGAAAGUGUGGGUAUCAAACAGGAUUAGAUACCCCGGUAGUC
rnacentral:rRNA from 1 species